GUUAGUUUUCUACUAUGGUAGGCACAAAAUGGGGUCGAUGCUCUAGUCAUCUAUAUCUAUACUUAUACUAAUUUGUGACUCUCAAGAAAUUACCACGAUAAUUUGAUUUUAUGAGCCGUUAAUUUUAUGGGACCAAAUUAUUACGGUGUAGAUCGACUCAUGAAAUCCUCCAUAAAGAACUUAAUUUUAAUUAAUUCUACAGUUUAUAAUCCAUCUAAACUUCUAAACCAUUGGAUCAUCAAUAUUAGGUCUGGAGUCGUCCCUUGAUUGCAGGACCCUAAUCAUCCCGUCUAACAUGUUUCCUAUCCUCGAUUAUAUUUUCCACAUGUCGCCGCCACGACAUAGCCAUGGCUUCUAUUUCACCCUACAACCCUAGAUCUUCCCUAACCUAAUCAUCAAACAUCAGCCAUCUCAGAUUUUAGGCAAAAACAAUCAGCUCUCCGGGACGUAGACAGUUGACUCCUUCUACCACACGAAUGAUGUGAUUUAAUUACUCGGAGGAAGUGUUCCAGAAAAUAGAGCCAUGGACUCAAUCGGCCAUGCUACUGCCACCAUCCGACCUUUCUGAGGCGAGACAAGGUUCUUUAAAGCGU
rnacentral:lncRNA from 1 species